rnacentral:rRNA from 1 species
GAUGAACGCUGGCGGCGUGCCUAAUACAUGCAAGUCGAGCGAACGGACGAGAAGCUUGCUUCUCUGAUGUUAGCGGCGGACGGGUGAGUAACACGUGGAUAACCUACCUAUAAGACUGGGAUAACUUCGGGAAACCGGAGCUAAUACCGGAUAAUAUUUUGAACCGCAUGGUUCAAAAGUGAAAGACGGUCUUGCUGUCACUUAUAGAUGGAUCCGCGCUGCAUUAGCUAGUUGGUAAGGUAACGGCUUACCAAGGCAACGAUGCAUAGCCGACCUGAGAGGGUGAUCGGCCACACUGGAACUGAGACGCGGGCCAGACUCCUACGGGAGGCAGCAGUAGGGAAGCUUCCGCAAUGGGCGAAAGCCUGACGGAGCAACGCCGCGUGAGUGAUGAAGGUCUUCGGAUCGUAAAACUCUGUUAUUAGGGAAGAACAUAUGUGUAAGUAACUGUGCACAUCUUGACGGUACCUAAUCAGAAAGCCACGGCUAACUACGU